rnacentral:rRNA from 1 species
UACGUAGGGUGCAAGCGUUAAUCGGAAUUACUGGGCGUAAAGCGUGCGCAGGCGGUUUUGUAAGUUUGUCGUGAAAGCCCCGGGCUCAACCUGGGAAUUGCGAUGAAGACUGCAAGGCUUGAAUCUGGCAGAGGGGGGUAGAAUUCCACGUGUAGCAGUGAAAUGCGUAGAGAUGUGGAGGAAUACCGAUGGCGAAGGCAGCCCCCUGGGAUAACACUGACGCCUCAUGCACGAAAGCGUGGGGAGCAAACAGG